rnacentral:rRNA from 1 species
AUUGAACGCUGGCGGCAGGCCUAACACAUGCAAGUCGAGCGGAUGAGGAAAGCUUGCUUUUCGAUUCAGCGGCGGACGGGUGAGUAAUGCCUAGGAAUCUGCCUGUUAGUGGGGGAUAACUCGGGGAAACUCGGGCUAAUACCGCAUACGUCCUACGGGAGAAAGUGGGGGAUCUUCGGACCUCACGCUAACAGAUGAGCCUAGGUCGGAUUAGCUAGUAGGUGAGGUAAUGGCUCACCUAGGCGACGAUCCGUAACUGGUCUGAGAGGAUGAUCAGACACACUGGAACUGAGGCACGGUCCAGACUCCUACGGGGGGCAGCAGUGGAGAAUAUUGGACAAUGGGCGAAAGCCUGAUCCAGCCAUGCCGCGUGUGUGAAGAAGGUCUUCGGAUUGUAAGCACUUUAAGUUGGGAGGAAGGGUAUUCACCUAAUACGUGGGUACUUUGACGUUACCAACAGAAUAAGCACCGGCUAACUCUGUGCCAGCCGCCGCCGUAAAAC